GUUGGACCUGAGAGCAGUAGUCAAAGUGGGGUUGGAUUAUCGAUAAGUAUAUUGUAAUUAACGUUUGAUAAUCUACUAUAUCUCGCAGUCGCCUUAAGAUGCUGAGACUCAAAAAUUUCGUAAUCAAACCAAUUAUACAUUUAUUUGGUAUUUCCAGUAGUAUCAAUGGGAAAAGUGAUCAAAAUGUAUUUUCCCAAAAUUAAUCCAUGCAAAAUAUAUUAAAUAAUUAGGUUUUGGAAUUAUACGUUAAAAUAAGCUUUCUCGCUAAAUCCACGAUUUUUAAUCCGAUGUAAGGCAUUCACAUAAAAAUUAUAAAUUCUUAAAAAAAAUUCUCUACAAGCUACUGCUACAUUCUUGAGUGGUAAUCCUCGCUUUUCUGGCAGGCAACUUUCCAAGCUUCCACGGCAUGUUCCACUUUGAUAUCGUCCGAUAUAUAUUCCUGUAGACCUUCGAUGAUGUCACAUCCCUUUUCCUCUAGUUUGGCAUUGAUAUACUGUGAUAAACUAAAGU